AUGGAUAAAAAUGAGCUGGUGCAGAAGGCCAACUGGCCGAGCAGGCUGAGCAAUAUGAAGACAUGGCAGCCUGCAUGAAGUCUGUAACUGAGCAAGGAGCCGAAUUAUCCAAUGAGGAGAGGAAUCUUCUCUCAGUUGCUUAUAAAAAUGUUGUAGGAGCCUGUAGGUCAUCUUGGAGGGUCGUCUCAAGUAUUGAGCAAAAGAUGGAAGGUGCUGAGAAAAAACAGCAGAUGGCUCGAGAAUACAGAGAGAAAAUUGAGACCGAGCUAAGAGAUAUCUGCAAUGAUGUACUGUCUCUUUUGGAAAAGUUUUUGAUCCCCAGUGCUUCACAAGCAGAGAGCAAAGUCUUCUAUUUGAAAAUGAAAGGAGACUACUACCAUUACUUGGCCGGGGUUGCUGCUGGUGAUGACAAGAAAGAGAUUGUGGAUCAGUCACAACAAGCAUACCAAGAAGCUUUUGAAAUCAGCAAAAAGGAAAUGCAACCAACACAUCCUAUUAGAUUGGGUCUGGCCCUUAACUUCUCUGUGUUCUAUUACAAAAUUCUGAACUUCCCGGAGAAAGCUUGCUCUCUUGCAAAGACAGCUUUUGAUGAAGCCAUUGCUGAACUUGAUACAUUAAGUGAAGAGUCCUACAAAGACAGCACGCUAAUAAUGCAAUUACUGAGAGACAACUUGACAUUGUGGAUAUCGGACACCCAAGGAGAUGAAGCUGAAGCAGGAGAAGGAGGGGAAAAUUAACCGGCCUUCCAACUUUUGUCUGCCUCAUUCUAAAAUUUACACAGUAGACCAUUUGUCAUCCAUGCUGUCCCACAAAUAGUUUUUUGUUUACGGUUUAUGACAGGUUUAUGUUACUUCUAUUUGAAUUUCUGUAUUUCCCAUGUGGUUUUUAUGUUGAAUAUUAGGGGAGUGGAGCCAGUUAACAUUUAGGGAGUUAUCUGUUUUCAUCUUGAGGUGGCCAAUAUGGGGAUGUGGAAUUUUUAUACUAGUUAUAAAUGUUUGGCAUAGUACUUUUGGUACAUUGUGGCUUCACAAGGGCCAGUGUUAAAACUGCUUCCAUGUCUAAGCAAAGAAAACUGCCUACAUAUUGGUUUGUCCUGGUGGGGAAUAAAAGGGAUACUUGGUUCCAGA